AUGCUCUGCCUCAGGAGCGGCGGCGGAGACCGGAGCCAGGCGUACGGCGGCGGGCGGGGGGCGCCGACGGGAGGACGCCGAGGCGGGCGGAAGCGCACCGCCUUCGUGUGGCCGUCGGCAUCACCGUGGCCUCACACGGGCGCGGACCAGCACGGGGUCGUCUUCCCCCUGCCCGCGCCGAUUUGGCCGCCCCUGGCGUACCCCUGCGGGCCUGCAUUCCCCGCGCCCUCACCGGCCCGCCCACCCCCCGCUUCCGCUCCACCAACUCCGGUGCCGUCGUCCGCGACUAUCGGUAAGGACCUCGAGGAGAGACCGUUCCCCUUCGUCUUGCCUGCGGCGGAGAAGGCGCCCGCGGUCGCGCCGGUUUCCAGGAAGCAGCUCGCCCGACCUGCCCGUCUCGGGGCCGGGACCGUCGCGAUGAUCCGCCCGAAUCGCAGGCGCCGGGCGGGAGGACGCGGCGCGCCCACCGGCUUCCCUCCAGGCCCGUCGGCACCGCCAUGGCCUCACGAGGGCGUGUACCAGCACGGCAUCGUCUUACCCGGGACCGCCGCCACGAUGCGCGCGAACCACCGGCGCCGGGCGAGAGGACGCGGAGGUGGCCGCGUGCCCACCGACUUCCUGUGGCCGCCUCCAGGCGAGUCGGCACCGCCGUGGACACACGAGGGCGCGUGCCAGCAUGGUGUCGUCUUCACCGGGCCCGCGCUGACUCCGUCGGCCCGGGCGUACGCCUACGCGCCCUCUUGA
rnacentral:rRNA from 1 species